AUACGGAGGGUGCAAGCGUUAAUCGGAAUUACUGGGCGUAAAGCGCGCGUAGGCGGUUAUUUAAGUCGGAUGUGAAAGCCCCGGGCUCAACCUGGGAAUUGCAUUCGAUACUGGGUAACUAGAGUAUGAGAGAGGGAGGUAGAAUUCCAUGUGUAGCGGUGAAAUGCGUAGAUAUGUGGAGGAAUACCAGUGGCGAAGGCGGCCUCCUGGCUCAAUACUGACGCUGAGGUGCGAAAGCGUGGGGAGCAAACAGGAUUAGAAACCCCAGUAGUCC
rnacentral:rRNA from 1 species